rnacentral:miRNA from 1 species
GCAGACACAUUCCAGCCAAUCAGCAGCAAACCCUCCCUCCCAGACCCUCCCACCUCCUGGACAGCAUCCAUUUUACAUUCAUUGUGAAGCUGCAUUCUUAGUGAGCUGUCCAGGAGGUGGGAGGGUCUGGGAGGGAGGGUCUGCUGCUGUUUGGCUGGAAUGUGUCUG